UUCACUUUGCAAUCGUUCAACAAUUCGUGGUCCUAAGUUUUCCCACGUGUCUGAGUGCAGAACGGUUUGUACUGGUUAAAGCCUAUUGCGCCGUUCUGCGGGUUGUGUUUUCGAGGGCCCGCCGGGCGCGUUGAAGCCUCCGUUCAUCGGGACAAUGAGCCUGUCGCAUGUAAAGUGACGCUGCUCGGUAGCGCGAUGCUCAAGUGAUGACUGCACCGCAGGCACCACACUUCAUCGUUUUCCUGUGGACUCUGCAAUGUGAAACUUGUAGCAGCUGGGUCAGCUGCAACUAUGUGUGAUGUCCUGAUGGUGAUUGUCUGGUGAUGUCUGGCGGAGGGUCUGGGUUCAGUUCUGCCGGAACACAAGCCUUCAAAACAAGACACCACAGCAGCUGCGGGAACAGGCGAUAUGCUCCAGGUGCCGGAGAUGUCGUCCACAGCAGCAGCGCUCGCCAAUUGAUCAGCGAGGGCGAGCCCACACAGGCCAGCAGCAGUAGCAUCGGUGCGCCACAUCAUCGAGGUGUCACACGCAAGGCACUACGGAACAAUAUGUGGGGAGCAGUCUCGAAGACUGGCACUCGAAGAUGUGGGGAGAAGCUCGAAGACUAGCCCUACAACCAGAGUUCAUGUGAAUCACACAUACGCGAUGGAUGGACAUGGUCGUCCUUCUGGAGAAAAAGUUGUGUGGGCGCCCGAACCUUCCCCUACCGAUUAUGAUGCUUCGGUGACUUCGGCUCCUGAAGUUUCUCACCAACACUCCUGGGCCACCUGUACCGAGGGCAGGGGGAAGAUAACCGUGUUGAGGGCCAAACUUUGACAGCUUCAGAAUCACAACACGAGACUGCAGCAACGACUGCAGCGACGGCGUCAUAUGCUGACUGUCACUGAGAUAGUUGAAAGUGUACGUAGCCUUGUGUCUCCAGCCGUUGCUGCCCUUGUGGAACCUCAGCUGAAGAUGAGCAAUGCAAGCAGGUCGGCAGGCGGUGGUGCUGCCAGAACAAAGCCUUUGUCUUGGGCUUGCACAUUCACAGCCCUAUAAGUUACCGUUACUGUAGGCAAUUGGUGAGGCUCCCAUCCGUUAGGUCGUUACAGCUUUGGCUCCAGCGUGUUCCCCUGAGGGUUGGUUUUUAGCCAGAAGUUUUCCAACUUGUCAAAAGACGUGCAGUUUCUUUUUCACCAGAAGACAAGCCAUGUAUCAUUGUCUUUGACGAGAUUCACGUCACGAAAGAGCUCUCGUACAACCCCUCUGAGUACAGGUUUGAAGGGCUUGAAGAGAGUAGCACUGGAAGAGGCCAUAACCUUGCAAACAAAGCUCUUGUGUUUAUGGCUAAAGGCAUUUGCACGCCAUGGAAGCAGCCACUUGGCUAUUUUUUUGCUCAUGGGGGAACACCUGCCCAAAUUGUGCGAGACCUCCUUUUCCAGUGCCACAAUUUGCUUGUGAAAGCCGGUCUGCAGCCAGUAGCUGUUGUAUGUGACCAAGAUAAUCAAAAUGUUGCUAUUUUUAAUGACUUUGUUACCCCUGAGAAGCCCUACAUAACUGUGAACGAGAAGCCAAUUUUUUUAUUUGAUCUUCCGCAUCUGCGUAAGUGCUUGCGAAAUAUCUUCAAGUACAAUUUUCGAGUUGGGGACCGCACGUUAAAACGCUCUUUCCUAUGGGAAGCCUACGAAAAAGACAACAGCUUGAAAUCCGAUCCAUGCCCAGGCUCAAUGAAAAGCAUUUUAAUUUCACUUUUGCCUCCAAGAUGUCAGUGAAGCUAGCAGCACAAAUAUUCAGUAAUCACUGUGCUGCUGCAAUGUUCGCCAUGGUACCUUUUCAGAAACUGUCAGUUGAAGUUAUCCACACGGCCCGGUUCAUUGAGAAAAUGGAUCGCCUUUUCUAUAGCUUGAACAGCUCACAAAGACCCGGGAAGAGUGCAUAUGUGUCUGUAAUGCGCAAAGGCCCUGUUCACAAAGAGUUUCUGAGGGAACGCCUUCUCAUGUUAAAAAGCCUUAACAGUUUCUUGCGUACUAGGGCUCACAUAGACAGUCAAGCUGUGGAGCAAAAUAUGUAUGUGGCCAGCCCAUGUACUAUAACGAAAGGCCUCAAUUUUCAAUCUCUUGAAGCAUUAAUUAAUGUGGAAAUUCAAAUGCAAAAGAUAUGCAUGACUCCGCACUUCCACUUGUGAUUGAUAUGAUUAAAUCUAGUUAUGAGCUCUCAACGUGAACAGUGCAAGAAAAAUGCGUAAACGUGCCUCCCGUUGAGAGUAUUAAGUGCGUGCAUAGAGUUGUCCAAACCUGAUUUCCACUAUGUUUUCAACACCAUAUCUCUAUCUUUAAGUGUCCUGUAGUGGUUUUGUAAGUUUGUAUAUAAUAAAUUGUGUGAACCAAG
rnacentral:lncRNA from 1 species